rnacentral:lncRNA from 1 species
CUUGUGUAUUGUAGGAUUUUAGCAGUAUUCCUGGUUCCUACCCACUAGAUGUGAUGGCACUCCUCCCACUGUGAUAACCAAAAGAAUGACUCUAGACUUUGCCAAAUGUCUUCUGCAGGCAAAAAUCACAGCUGGGAAAGAAAUACUGAUCCAGAGUUUAUCGAUUACAAUUGGAGGGAAGUCUUGUUUUAACCAAAAAGUAGCAUCUAUGCCAUGUUACAGAACUAGCAGAUAAAUGCACACCAUAUUUCAAAGUUCAAGAGGCACACAUCCCCAUUCAGUGUAUUACCUACUUGUUCAAGUAUGUUAAAAGCAAAUCACAAACUACUCCCCAUCCUUCAUAUAAACAAAAUUAAAGUAACCAAAUAAUCUACUGACAAAUAGUAGUGCUGACUCAACAUGAGCUGUGCCUGUAGUUCCUUAGAUCUGGAGUCAAAUUGGGAGAAAAAGAAUUAACCAAACAGUGCAGUGUUGGGACUUUCUGCAGAGCAUUCUCAUCUAUGAGAUAAGACAGACUGACACACUGUCCUCAGACAGCCACAGGCAAGGGCUGCCUGUCUUAUGUGAGAUGACACCUUCAUUUGCCAUUAUGUGGCAGACAGAAUGGCCCCCAAAGACAUCCACAUCCUAAUCAUCAGAACCUGUGUGACACGGCAAAUGGGACUCCACAGAUGUGACAAGCAUCCUGAGAUGGGGAAGAUUUCCUGAAUUAUCCAGAUGGGCCCAAUGUAAUCACAAGGGCCUGUAUAAGAGGAAGAUAAGAUCAGAAUUGGAGAAGCUGUGAAGACAGAAACAGAGACUGGAAUGAUGGGGGCCAUGAACCAUGGGAUGCAGAUAGCUUCUACAAGCCAGGAAAGACAGAAAGUGAGAUUUGACCCAAGGACCUCUACAGGGAGCUAGCUCUGGACUUUAGCAGUGUAAAAUAGUACGUUUCUGUUUUACAUUUGAAGUCCUUGCUACAGCAGCCAUAGUAAACUCAGGGACUAUAUCUGCACCGUGUGAAAUCAGUCCACUCUCCCAGAUCGCUUGCUCGGUCGCCAGUUCCAUCGUUUACUUCCUAGUCAGGCAAUAAUGGUGAUGCGUAAAACCUCAGUGCUUAGGAGCCCUGUUCUAUGUAACCAUAAACCAGUGAUCUGAGUUCUAUAAGACCACCAGCCUAGUAUGGGUAGAAUUAAAUGAAGCCAUGUGAUGUAAGCUGCUUUGUAGGGAACAGGGAAAGGGGACAUUACUAGAACCUCUGCAGUGAGUCCUACUCUCCUGCGAGCAACAGCAGCACAAGGUGAAUUAACUUAUUAUACAGGAAAAGUAGAAAAAUGAGACUUGGAGAAGAAGCUGAGCUUUGGACCUGAUCAGUGCUGCUCUGGGCAGCAAAGACUAAAGCCCCCAGUUCACCGCACCUUUUACUCAGUACAUCAGGAGAAACAAAUGUAACAAAUGACUUGCAGAGAGUUCAGUACAUCAGGACAAAUAAAGUGUAACAAAUGACUCGCAGAGAGUUCAGUACAUCAGGAUAAACAAAGUAUAACAAAUGAGUUGCAGAGAGUUCAGUACAUCAGGAUAAACAAAGUAUAACAAAUGAGUUGCAGAGAGUUCAGUACAUCAGGAUAAACAAAGUAUAACAAAUGAGUUGCAGAGAGUUCAGUACAUCAGGAUAAACAAAGUAUAACAAAUGAGUUGCAGAGAGUUCAGUACAUCAGGAUAAACAAAGUGUAACAACUGACUAGGGGGCAGCGGAAAUCCAAGAACAAUGAGGAACUGAAUAGGUGAAGAUUUUGUUCCUCCCAGGAUGUGUUCAGCUGGUGUAAUCUUGUCCUGGAGCAUCACAGCAUCACAGGAUCAUUGAGGUCUCAGUUGUGACCGGAGGCCAAAAUGGAAUUAUGUCUCGAAAUGCCAUAGCUGGCUUGUAGGCAGGAGAACUAGGGUUAAUCAAACAAUUUUUCCCUAAAAUUAUGUAGCAUUGCUCCUGACACUGCUUAAGCUGCAGGUCUCCUCAUGACUUCCCUUCCAGUGUCUGAGUCAGGGCAAUAAAAGGCAGGCUGUGGGGCCAUGGUGAACACAUCAUCAGCCUCCCUCUGGGCACCAUGCUGAUCUUUGUUGUCAGAAUGAGCAUCAUAAGUAUGUGGUAUGAGGAAGUCUGGAGAGCCUUAGGGUGAUCUCUGACAUGGACUCUUUUUUUCCAACAGGCCUCUGAGUAGCCUGCUGACCUGGGCCCUCCUGGCAACUGCCGCCUUUGUUGCCUAUACCCCUGGACCGGAAACUAGGUGCAGGGGAGGUGACUCAGCAGGCCCUGGCUCAGAACACACACUGCAGCGGGUCCACCUAGGCAAUUAAUGCUCAGCCAGAAAUCCCCAGAAGGCACCAGGACUUGGCAGCAGUGAACUGUGGUAUAAACUGAAGUGGGGAGGGAAGGGCUUAGAGGGGCCACCUGAGCCUCAGAAUCUGUUCCUGACACUGUAAUUGGCCAGUACAAGAACACUCUGCAACUGCAAAGAGAAACACAAAACCAAAUGUCUAAGACAACCCACUGACAAAAACCAAACAAAAGCAAAGGGCUCAAGUUAGCCUGAACCCACACAAGCACUCCUAGAACAUGCUAGGACUUUGGAAAAGGUACUAUGAUGUCCCUGCUCCUUGUGGACCAACUUCCUAAGCAGAGCUGGCAGCCACUACUUAGAGGAAAGCCACAACUCAGGGUGCAAGCAGAAGGCAUGUUCUCUUGCAGACCUGAAUCCUAUCUGUGGGGUGGCUUUGCCCCUGUGCACAGUCAGUCAUCUGACAUUUAAGAUACUGGGUACAGAUUUCAAAUGCAAACAAUUAAAAACCUACAACUAUAAAUACAGUCUGUAGCUACAUGCUGCUUUAGCUUGUGAUAUUUUAAAGGCAGAAGAUACAAAGCCAUUGGUGAUCAUCAGGGCAGUAGGGUCAGACAUGCUCUCUCCCCUUCAGGCUCAGAAACACACAGGCAGAUGGUGGCAGCAGAGAGCAAAGUUCACAGCUCCCAGGCUGAGGCCUGAGAAGGUGACGGUCCCUCCAGGUGAUGCUGUCACAGCUGCUUCUGCUUUGGUCCAUACACAAAUGUCAGUGGCACAUUGCUCCUGGCCAUCCCGUGUGCCUUGUGCAACUGGAAGCUGUGCAAGCCUCAGCUAUUUUCCUUUAUGUCUUCAUGAAAAUGAUACCCAAAAUACCAGGGAGACAACUUCUGUUGUUUUACAAGGCAUGCAAAUACUAGGUCCUACACCAAGUUCUUUACACUGUUGGCCUUGGGAGGCAACCACAGGUACUCCUACUCUCAGCUGAGGAAGCAAGACUGACAGAACUUACAUAUUUACCCCAAUGUUCCACAAUCAUAAAGGUGAGUUAAGCUCUGGACAUUGGCCCAUCAAGCUCUUCAGCUCCCGCUCUCAUUCACUAAACUCCAGCCCAGGACAGGCCAUGUUUUGGCCUUCAGCUGUUGGUCCAGAGGGUUGAGCCUGGCUUGAUCAAUUGGCUUGGGAGAAGCACUUCCCCUAGGUCUCCCCAUGCAUCAGGCAUAUAAGUACUUCUAUGGUUGUACUCAGUGUUCACAUGAUGAUGAUGGCCUUAUCUUUGACCCAAAGACUCCCCAGCCACACCAGAGCUGGUGAGUGCCAGCAUGUGUGGAGCUAGGUCAAAGUUCUUGCAGGUUAAAUCUCCAUAACUUCUCACCCUGGCAAAAUUAGUGCAUUAUACCUUAAUCACUGAAGUAGUAAGCCAGUUCCCUAACACUCUGAGAUCUUAAACUGUCAUAAGAGAAGAUGGUAACAUGAUCAACUAAGCGUCAAAUGUGCCCUUUUGAAGUUGUACAUAAAAGUUAUACUGAACACGUCAUCACAUGGACAGAAACAUUCAUCUGAGCUUAGUAAUAAACUUUAUCUGUACAUCAAAUUCAGUUUAAAAUGCUUUACACAUAUUUCCUCCUCUGAUCUUACUUUCGAAGUAAAUAAGGCAAGCAUUUUCCUAUCAUACAAGCUUUCUCCCUUGCCAAGGCACUGGGAUUAAGAACCAGUCACAAGGUGUAACAAGGCAGCCUGGAAGUUAACCUAGGCCUGCAGAUUCUAAGGCUGAAGCUCUUCCCCCUGCCCCAUGGACUUCUGAGUUUGCUUCUUGCUUCUUCUGUGGCUACCAGAAACACCCUUGGAAUUACCUUGACAAGUUAUUUAAAGUUGAGUGCCAUGUGGACCUCGCCUUUUCAAGAAUCCAGAGACGGCUUCCUACCCUUACAGCUCCUACCAGCAAAUGGUCAGUGCAACAGCCAGGGGUCUGCCCUGGUGGUAGCCUUAGCCACACUGAUGGUAGGGCUUGUAAUCAAAGUCCUGACUCCCAGACCCUCGGCCAAAGAGCUCAGAAACAGAAAGCAAGUGAGUGGGUACUCACCAUGCAUUUGUUUGGUACAUGUUGUAGUACAUUAUUACAUUCAUCAAGGGGAGUUGGUACAUGUAUUGACAUUUCUCCAUUUCUUUAGUCCUCUUCCCCUCCUUGACCUCUUGGGAUGGAUGGAUGAACAGAUAUAAUUUUUUAAAAUACAUUUGUAGUACAUGAUCACAUUCCUCAAUUCAUCAUAGGGACUUGGUGCAAGAACACAGCAUUUCACAAUCCUCUCAUUAUUAAUCUUUCUUCUUCCUUUCCUCUUUCCAUUCCCUCCCCAUAUGCCAAAGAUCCAUCUUGCUAUCUCCUACUGUCUAUCCUUUAUUUUGCAUUUAGUUAUAUACUGGUAUUCUCAUGUAGGAGAAAUCAUGCAGUAUGUGUCUGAUUUACUUAACAUUAUGAUCUCAAGGUGCAUCCAUUUUCCUACAAAUGACUGAAGUUUAUCAUUUAUGGCACAAUAGUACUCCAUUGUGUAUAAAUACCACAUUUUCUUCAUUCAUCUUUUUUUUUUUUUUGGUAAUGGGGAUUGAACUCGGGUCCUUGUGCUUGUGCAACAGGCAGCAAAACCACUGAGCUAAAUCCCCGGCCCCAUUCAUCUUUUGAUGGGCAUUGAGGCUAUUUUUAGCUAUUAUCAAUUGUGCUGCUAUAAAUGGUUAUGCAUGAAUCAUUGUACCACAGUGUCUUUACCUCCUUCAGGAAGAUAACUAGUACACGACAACCUGGGUCAAAUGGUCUAUUUUUAGUUUUUGGAGGCCUCUCCACACCGAUUCCCACCUACAACGAAGAGUUCCUCCCCUCCACCCUAACACCUCUCCAGCAUUUGUCAUUUGAUUUCUUGAAUGUAGCUGUUCUUUUUUGGAGAUGGAAUCUCAGUAAUGUUUUAAUUUGCAUUUCUCAAUUGGCCAGCGAUGGUAAGCGUUUUUUCAUGUAUUCUGUCAUUUGUACGUCAUCUGAGAAAUGUUUAUUCAUUUCAGAUGUUCAUUUUUGAUUGGGCCUCUAUAUUUGGGGAGGUCUAAUUUUUUUGUGUUCUUAUUUUCUAGAUAUUAGUCCUUAAGUCUGAUGAGUGGCUGGCAAAAAGUUUUCCUGUUCUGUGGCUGUCUCUUCACUCUUUUGUCCACCACGCAUUUCUGCACGCAUGCACACACACUCACACACACUCUCAGUGACCUACAAAAGCACCCGUGGGAUCCAGUGCAGAGAGACACUUGAAACCAUUCUCCAAAAUAAAAAAGAACUUUGCCUGGUACAUUCAGGUAAAGUUGCAAUAUUCAGAGAUCUGAACUGCACAGACAAAUCUGUUGUGGUCAGUUUGGUUGUUUUGUUUUGUUUUUCCCCGACCUGGAUUUCUCUUUAAAAGAGAUUGCCACUAUUACUCAAUGAAAUCACAAAAACUAGUUACAUUAAAAAUUGCUUAUUUCUUAGGAGCAGUCUGCUGCCCAUCUGUUCAGAAAAUAUGUGCAGAGCUCCCAGGCAGCCCAAUGAACCCCCAGCAGACACAGGUGCCGGGAGGCCCCAGCCCAGCAGGUGGCUGUCUGUAGACCUCUCUUCCCUCCGUCCAGUUUCUUCAUUUCACCAGCACUUUCAUAUAUCAGAGCUUUGAGAAACACUUGCUCUUACACUUGUUUUUACAGCAGUGAGAGGAUGUAGAGCAGCAAGAGCCCAGACUGUUUUGCCACACUGCUCAGGAUGGAAUUCAGUGCUGAUCCAAAUUCUUGGAUGCUUCUGUUUCAGGCUGGGAUUGGUGAACAUCUUCAGACUCAAUGGUGAAAUCAGCCCACACAUGGCCACCUCACAGAGACUGCAUACACACACUCACACACACAAACACACACAGAAAAUCUUGGAAAUUUUGGUUAAGAAUUUAAAAUGAGAAAGCAUGACAAGAGUGUUAACAAAUGUCCCCUUUGAUAGAUAAAAGCAAAAAAAAUGGGUUUAUGUAAUUGGAGAAAAGUUAUGAUCAAAGGAUUAUCU